rnacentral:rRNA from 1 species
UACGGAGGGGGCCAGCGUUGUUCGGAAUCAUUGGGCGUAAAGGGCGCGUAGGCGGCCACGCAAGUCGGAUGUGAAAUCCCUCGGCUCAACCGAGGAACUGCAUCCGAAACUGCGAGGCUAGAGUCCUGGAGAGGGUAGUGGAAUUCCCAGUGUAGCGGUGAAAUGCGUAGAUACUGGGAGGAACACCGGUGGCGAAGGCGGCUACCUGGACAGGUACUGACGCUGAUGCGCGAAAGCCAGGGGAGCAAACAGG